GGAGAAAAAUAACCUCGGGAAACUGAGGAUAAUGUUUCAUAGUUGAAUAGGCUUGGAAAAGUUUUUCAAUGAAAGGGAUAAGAAAAAUGGUUCUUAUUUGCCAUAGGAUAGGAUCGUGGUCGAUUAUGGUUGUUGGUGAGGUAACGGCUCACCAAGCCGAUAAUCGAUAGGGGCCGUGAGAGCGGGAGCCCCGAGAUGGGUACUGAGACAACGACCCAGGCCUUACGAGGCGCAGCAGGUGCGGAACCUCCGCAAUACACGAAAGUGUGACGGGGUUACCCAAAGUGUUCAUUAUUGAACUGUGGUAGGUGAGUAAUGUCCCCUACUAGAAAGGAGAGGGCAAGGCUGGUGUCAGCCGCCGCGGUAAAACCAGCUCUUCAAGUGGUCGGGAUGAUUAUUGGGCUUAAAGUGUCCGUAGCCGGUUUAGUAAGUUCCUGGUAAAAUCGGGUAGCUUAACUAUCCGUAUGCUAGGAAUACUGCUAUACUAGAGGGCGGGAGAGGUCUGAGGUACUAUAGGGGUAGGGGUGAAAUCCUAUAAUCCUUAUAGGACCACCAGUGGCGAAGGCGUCAGACUGGAACGCGCCUGACGGUGAGGGACGAAAGCCAGGGGAGCGAACCGGAUUAGAUACCCGGGUAGUCCUGGCCGUAAACGAUGCAUACUAGGUGAUGGCAUGGCCAUGAGCCGUGUCAGUGCCGUAGGGAAACCGUUAAGUAUGCCGCCUGGGAAGUACGGUCGCAAGGCUAAAACUUAAA
rnacentral:rRNA from 1 species